rnacentral:misc_RNA from 1 species
AACGCACAUUGCACCCGGUGGUAUUCCGCCGGGUAUGCCUGUCUGAGCGUCAUUUCUACCCUCAAGCCCGGCUUGGUGUUGGCGAAUUGCCCCCCCGGGGCAACCGCUGAAAACGAAUGGCGGUAGCACACCCGUCCUCUGUACAGUACAAUUCUUACAGCGGCCUCGUGGACGAACCAGCCCGUACAAAGAAAUAGCAAGUUGACCUCAGAUCAGGUAGGAAUACCCGCUGAACUUAA